GUUUCUGGCUGCAGUGAAAAAAAAAAAAACAACAAAUUGUAAGGUCAGAAGCACAAGUCUUAUGCCUAUAACACUGAAGAUGAUAAUAAAAAUGUGGUUUUGAAAGAAGAGUUAUAAAAAGUAUCCUCAGGCAUGGAAGUAACGAUUAUGUACUGCUAGCAAUUUGCAUUCUGCUAAGUUAGAGAAGGGCACUUCUGACAGAUGAUUGUUGAACCCCCAUCAAAGUCAUAGGGAAUUAUGUAAGAAAUAUCAAUGUAGCCAUUUUCAGUGUGCUACAACGGUGUCUGCAUGUCAAGAAGUGGGGCUGAGGCAGCCACAUCCAGGUUUUCUGCGUGAGAUAACAGAAGCAGACUUUGCAGGACUGGAAACCACCUGUAUGCUUCUGCACUUAAACAAUUCUGCUCAGUUUGUGUAACCCUAACAGUUUCCUUUAACCUUCUGUUCUGUAGGGCUCAGCAUCUCACAGGUAAAUUAAAAAGCUAAACAAAAAUGAGAACUUUUUGUUGAAGCCUGAUUAAAUUUCACAGUUUGUGUGUAAUGAGAGUACUGCUUUAUUUUACACCUCCAGCAAUCUGCAAUGUCUUUUCUCUCUAUGUUGGUUUGCGUGCAGCUCUCAUGACUGUGUUACCAGAAUGCCAACAUGUCUCUGCUUGGAAGAUACAGGCACAGAUUGCAUAUUCUUCAGCUUUGAUUCAGCUCCAGCUUCAGACUUGAGAACAGACAGAGCACAGUUUGCCUGGAUUCCAAUAAAGAAAAGCCACAGACUUGUGGAACACUAUUAAGAGAGGGGUGGCAAAUUCUCAUUAGGGAUGUGUUAGCAGGAACUGAGGUGGUUGAGAAAGAAACUAAUGUGUCAUAAAACCUUCACCAAAUAGAGGGAAAUAUGUUGGACAAAAAUUGUAUUUAUUGCUUAACACAGUCUUUGUUUGUUAUAAGUUGCUGGAAGUUUUUGUUUGUUUGUUUUUCUGGUACAGCGUUUGGAAUGCCUGGAGCUCUUUACAGGCAAAGAAGAGAGGAAGAUUGUAGGAAAACCUAGGAGGAGUUGUAAGCUUAUUUCAGUUUCUGGUAUUAUUAAUGAUUUCCUGUAUGCAUUUCACAAUUAAUCCUCUUAGGAGAUGUCCUUGUCUGAUUAAGGUGAAGAUGUUCCUUAUGUUGUUCAGGUAGAUGUGUACAAACAUUGUGGGGGAAGGGAAGCUGCGCAACUGAAUAAUUAAAAUCCACGGGUCCUACAUAUACAUAUCAUCACAGAUCUGCUUGAGGCAUUUUAAUGGCUCUGCGAAAUGGAUGCAAGUGAAAAAACCCCUCAGCAGAAUGAACUCAUGGAAGCAGUCAGUAAAGAACAGAAACACCCUAAUGGAGAUAGAAACACUUCUAACUUCUCAAACCCAUUUUUCCAGAAGGAGCUACAUCAUAAUUUCAAAGGCCUCACAAAGGACAGAGAAGACAAUGAUACGUGAAUGUAAUUGCUGAGCCAGGAUGGGAAAAUAACUCUCCCUGCACUUUUUACAGAAAUUAAACAAAGAAAUUCUGUGUCUGCUAGGUGUCAUUGAGUUUCACCUAUCUGGAAGAAUUGCCCGGACAAAUGAGGCAUGAAUAUAAUUGCUGAGCUUGAAGUGACUAGUUUAAGCCAGUAUAAUCUGAUAACACAGCUAAUGUUUAUUUUCUUGUAAAUUAUUUGGGAGGAAGGUUGGAGGGUUUACUGAAGCUGCAGCAGCAACUGAUACUUUCCUUUGGGAUGGAGAACUUCAAAGAGACUGGGCCUCAGGCUGUAUGUUUAGCAAAACCAUUGCCAGUUUAUACUGAUGAUCUAAUAGAAAACAUCAUAAAGAGCGUUAGAUGAUAGCCCAGUGAGGAGACCACUGCAUGUGGUCAGUUGAUAGAAUGUAGAAGCUGAAGCCCAAGGAGAACUGCUACAUACCAGAGCUAAACUGUUAGCCACAGACCCAGCAUGCCAACCAGGCAGAAUGAGUGACCUGCUCCUCUAGGAUUACUGAUAAUGGAGUGGUCUAAACUCAACUGAUGGAGUGAGUCUCUGAUCUGUGUAUGACAUGUAUGCUGGCAGAACAGGAAUCAUUAUCCACCUGCUACACCCACCCUUCCACGUGGACUAAUACAACCAGAUCAUUUAUCACUAAGUACAGAACCACACCACCCAAUAUCCCUGUGACCAAUGGAGGAACAAUGUAGAUCAGGGGGAACUUUCAUUCCAAAAACUGACAGCUGUCCUGUAUCCUUACUUCUAGGGCAAAGGCUUGUCUUAGGCUUUGGAACUGCAAGUAGAUCCCAGGGCCUUGCACCCAAAAUCCAGCUCCCAUGCUGACAGUUGGAGCUUCACCUUGUUUGCACUGGAGGAUUGAGUACCUCCAGGGCAGGAAGUCCUCCCUCCCCCCAUGGGAAUUCCUAAGCUUUCCACAUUUUUGACAAACCCAGAAGAUCCCCCUACAGCUGGCUGUUUUUGAGGUUUCUCCAUUUGUAGAAGUCACAUGUACUCUCAUUUUUUUUUUUUUUUUUCCCUAGAGACAGGCGAUGAUAUUAUUUGCAACUCUCAAAGCUGUUUAUUCUUCUGAAGAUCCCAAAUCUAAGGUUGGGUAUAUGAUCCCAAAGGGAGAUAAGCCAAUAAAAAGAAAAACAAAAACAAACAAACAAAAAAACUAAUGAGAGGUCCUGCAAAAGACAACAAAUUAAUACAAUUUACUUAGUUAAAGCAUGAUCAACCACCUGCCCCUAACAACAGAGUGGUUUUGGUGUGCUCAGUGAAACAGAUAGUCAAGACAGCACAGACAGCUGUGCAAACAACCCAGUGAUCACCAUGGAUUGCAAAAGCAUCCUAAAUUACUGGAGCAACCAGACAGUGACAGCAAAUCAGAAGGAAAUGACUUUAUAAUCAACAAUGUGUUCUUUAACCAGCUCUGUAACUAAGGACACUGCAGGGUACUGGGGUAACUGGGUGUUUCUGAAAAAAGACUAUGGGGAGGAAAGACCCACAACCAGGAUCCAGUUUCAUCCAUGCAACUUCUGGGGAACCCAGGGAGUAAACAGAGGCCAACUCAACCUCAUGACCCCUUGUCAGUGCACUAUACAGCGCAGCAGGAACCAUCACACUGACUCACACAAUCCAUCCAGGAUUACACCAUCACUUCCACAGGAUGAGGAACUUGUGAAAGAAACCACAAAUCCAACCCACACAGCUUCUAUCUCUGGCUGCACUAUGGCAUAGGAAUGUCAUGUAAAAUUGUAUAUAUUUGUGUAUUGAACAUAACUUGCAAGGUGUUUUUUUUUGUUUGUUUGUUUUUUUUUUUUUUUUUUUUUUUUUUGUAUGGGCUGCAGUGAGCCCUCUGUGGAA
ensembl:lncRNA